CGAGGGGCAGCGGUGGUGAAGGCUUGCCUUCACCAGCCGGCGACCGGCGCACGGGUGAGUAACACGUAUGCAACCUGCCUGCCACAGCCGGAUAAUCGGGAGAAAUCCCGUCUAAUACGGCAUAAUGCAUCGACGGGACAUCCUGUUGGUGCCAAAGGUUAAUUCCGGUGGCGGAUGGGCAUGCGUCGCAUUAGUUAGUUGGCGGUGUAACGGACCACCAAGACGACGAUGCGUAGGGGUUCUGAGAGGAAGGUCCCCCACACUGGUACUGAGACACGGACCAGACUCCUACGGGAGGCAGCAGUGAGGAAUAUUGGUCAAUGGGCGGGAGCCUGAACCAGCCAAGUCGCGUGAGGGAUGACGGCCCUAUGGGUUGUAAACCUCUUUUGCCGGGGAGCAAAGUGCCGCACGUGUGCGGUUUGGAGAGUACCCGGAGAAAAAGCAUCGGCUAACUCCGUGCCAGCAGCCGCGGUAAUACGGAGGAUGCGAGCGUUAUCCGGAUUUAUUGGGUUUAAAGGGUGCGUAGGCGGACGCUUAAGUCAGCGGUAAAAUUGCGGGGCUCAACCUCGUCGAGCCGUUGAAACUGGGUGCCUUGAGUGGGCGAGAAGUACGCGGAAUGCGUGGUGUAGCGGUGAAAUGCAUAGAUAUCACGCAGAACUCCGAUUGCGAAGGCAGCGUACCGGCGCCCAACUGACGCUGAAGCACGAAGGCGUGGGUAUCGAACAGGAUUAGAUACCCUGGUAGUCCACGCAAUAAACGAUGAAUGCUAGUUGUCCGGGG
rnacentral:rRNA from 1 species